rnacentral:rRNA from 1 species
AUUGAACGCUAGCUGUAUGCUUAACACAUGCAAGUCGAACGGCAGCGCGAGGAGCUUGCUCCUUGGCGGCGAGUGGCGGACGGGUGAGUAACGCGUGAGAAUCUGCCCUCAGGAGGGGGAUAACAGCUGGAAACGGCUGCUAAUACCCCAUAUGCCGCGAGGUGAAAUGAAUUUCGCCUGAGGAUGAGCUCGCGUCUGAUUAGCUAGUUGGUGUGGGUAAUGGCUCACCAAGGCAUCGAUCAGUAGCUGGUCUGAGAGGAUGAUCAGCCACACUGGGACUGAGACACGGCCCAG